rnacentral:rRNA from 1 species
GUGGGGAAUAUUGGACAAUGGGGGCAACCCUGAUCCAGCCAUGCCGCGUGUGUGAAGAAGGCCUUAGGGUUGUAAAGCACUUUCAGUGGGGAGGAAGGCUUUGGGCUAAUACCCUGGAGUACUUGACGUUACCCACAGAAGAAGCACCGGCUAAUUUCGUGCCAGCAGCCGCGGUAAUACGAAAGGUGCGAGCGUUAAUCGGAAUUACUGGGCGUAAAGCGCGCGUAGGCGGUUUGUUAAGUCUGAUGUGAAAGCCCCGGGCUCAACCUGGGAAUGGCAUCGGAUACUGGCAAGCUAGAAUGCGGUAGAGGGGGGUGGAAUUCCAGGUGUAGCGGUGAAAUGCGUAGAGAUCUGGAGGAAUACCGGUGGCGAAGGCGGCCCCCUGGACAAAGACUGACGCUCAGGUGCGAAAGCGUGGGGAGCAAACAGGAUUAGAAACCCCAGUAGUCC